GACAGAGGUGGCAAGCGUUGUUCGGAUUUACUGGGCUUAAAGGGCGUGUAGGCGUCCUGAUAAGUCAGAUGUGGAAGCCUUGGGCUUAACCCAAGAAUUGCAUUUGAAACUGUCAGGAUUGAGUCGUGCAUGGGAGGGCGGAAUUCCUGGUGUAGCGGUGAAAUGCGUAGAUAUCAGGAGGAAGGCCUGUGGUGAAGAUGGCCCUCUGGGCAAUGACUGACGCUGAGGCGCGAAAGCGUGGGUAGCAAACAGG
rnacentral:rRNA from 1 species